rnacentral:lncRNA from 1 species
GAGCAUUUAACCUACACUAGGCAGAAAACACUACUGAAGAGGGAACAGAUCUACAACUUUAGUAGAGGUGAAAAUGAUGUUUGGAAUUCCAAACUCCUGAACUAUGUUUCUGAUCCAUCGUAGAACUUCCUGUAAAAUAUUAGACACGAAAAAAGCUAAGUAAUAGUUUAGAGGUCAGAGACUCUGAGUAGACAUUAUAUCAAAACAUGGUUUAUAAGCAGGAUGAUGAAAUGAGUAAAUUUUAUAUCCAAGAAAAGAAAACAGGUGGAAAGGGAAAAAGAAAUAAAUAAAGGAAAAAGCUAAACUGCACGACAAAAGCAUUUGUCACAAUAGCACGACUUAAAUUUAGAUUAUAAUUUGAAUUAUCUUUUGAUUUUUAUUUGAUUCCUAAUUACCAGUUUGUUUCACACGUGUUUAUUUAUGAGAAAUCCCAUCACAUGAGGUGGUGAUUUUCAAAAUCACUCUGUGAUGUGUUGCCAUUGUCUAAGGCUGAAUGAAUAUUGUAGAACACAAGUCUAGGAUAUUAUCACACUUCCUUGAAUAUUUAUUUUAUCUUGGUUUAUGUUUUAAGUAUUUUAAAAAAUUAUAAGCUAUCUAGCACGCAUUAAUCACAUGAGAAUGAAUCUGUCGUGCAUAGUCGUGUGGAGAGCUUAUUGUGCCAGAUAGCAACUCUCAUAAAUAAAAUAACCGGUGUUGUUGAUUGUACAGGAGGUGGUCUAGUUUUUCUUGCUUUAGUCUAGUUUUUUUUUUCUUCUGCUACUUGAUUCUCCAGGCACCGUGCCUGU